rnacentral:rRNA from 1 species
GGCCAGACUCCUACGGGAGGCAGCAGUGGGGAAUAUUGCACAAUGGGGGGAACCCUGAUGCAGCGACGCCGCGUGGGUGAAGGAGUAUUUCGGUAUGUAAAGCCCUAUCAGCAGGGAAGAACAAUGACGGUACCUGACUAAGAAGCACCGGCUAAAUACGUGCCAGCAGCCGCGGUAAUACGUAGGGGGCAAGCGUUAUCCGGAUUUACUGGGUGUAAAGGGAGCGUAGACGGCGAUGCAAGCCAGAUGUGAAAGGCCGGGGCUCAACCCCGGGACUGCAUUUGAAACUGUCAGGCUGGAGUGCAGGAGAGGUAAGUGGAAUUCCUAGUGUAGCGGUGAAAUGCGUAGAUAUUAGGAGGAACACCAGUGGCGAAGGCGGCUUACUGGACUGUAACUGACGUUGAGGCUCGAAAGCGUGGGGAGCAAACAGGAUUAGAUACCCCAGUACU